UUAUAUACGGUGGCCAACAGGGGCCAAAUGCUGCAAGAAAAAAACAAAAACAAAUGCAUAAUCAAAAAUGCGCUGCAAAUAGAGAAACAAUGCAAAGCACAAAACAAUGAAAGCAAGAAAACACAUGCAAAAGAAAAAAGCUGUAUAAAUGGGUUG